AUACGUAGGAUCCGAGCGUUGUCCGGAUUUACUGGGCGUAAAGGGUGCGUAGGCGGCGUGGUAAGUCUCAUGUGAAAUCUCCCGGCUUAACUGGGAGGGGUCAUGGGAUACUGCCAUGCUCGAGGGCAGUAGAGGAGAGCGGAAUUCCGGGAGUAGCGGUGAUAUGCGUAGAUACCCGGAGGAACACCCGUGGCGAAAGCGGCUCUCUGGGCUGUACCUGACGCUAAGGCACGAAAGCGUGGGGAGCAAACCGGAUUAGAUACCCCGGUAGUCC
rnacentral:rRNA from 1 species